rnacentral:rRNA from 1 species
GCGAAUUCACUAGUGAUUAGAGUUUGAUCAUGGCUCAGAGUGAACGCUGGCGGCGUGGAUUAGGCAUGCAAGUCGAGCGAUACUUAGAUGUAGAGGUUGAAGCCGCAAGGCAGAUGCCAAUUCGUCUAGAGAUAUAGCGGCAAACGGGUGCGUAACGCGUGAGUAAUCUACCUUUAUGUUGAAGAUAGCUUCGCGAAAGCGGAGGUAAUAUUUGAUGUGUCCAGGACUUCACAAGUGGUCCUGGGUAAAGGUCUCGCAAGAGACUGCAUAAAGAUGAGCUCGCGUCCUAUCAGCUAGUUGGCAGGGUAAUGGCCUACCAAGGCUUUUGACGGGUAGCUGGCCUGAGAGGGUGGUCAGCCACAUGGGGACUGAGACACUGCCCCAACUCCUACGGGAGGCUGCAGUCGAGAAUCUUUAGCAAUGGACGAAAGUCUGACUAUGCGACGCCGCGUGAG